UGUGGGAGCGGGCUUGCUCGCGAAGCAAGCGGCGCGGUUUAUCGUUUAAACCGCGUUGAUCCUUUCGCGAGCAAGCCCGCUCCCACA
rnacentral:misc_RNA from 1 species